GGCCACGUGGCGGAGUGGUUACGCAACGGUCUGCAAAACCGUGCACUCGGGUUCGAGCCCCGACGUGGCCUCCA
rnacentral:tRNA from 1 species